GACGAACGCUGGCGGCGUGCUUAACACAUGCCAGUCGAACGGAAAGGCCCUGCUUUUGUGGGGUGCUCGAGUGGCGAAAGGGUGAGUAACACGUGAGUAACCUGCCCUUGACUUUGGGAUAACUUCAGGAAACUGGGGCUAAUAACGGAUAGGAGCUCCUGCUGCCUGGUGGGGGUUGGAAAGUUUCGGCGGUUGGGGAUGGACUCGCGGCUUAUCAGCUUGUUGGUGGGGUAGUGGCUUACCAAGGCUUUGACGGGUAGCCGGCCUGAGAGGGUGACCGGCCACAUUGGGACUGAGAUACGGCCCAGACUCCUACGGGAGGCAGCAGUGGGGAAUAUUGCACAAUGGGCGGAAGCCUGAUGCAGCAACGCCGCGUGCGGGAUGACGGCCUUCGGGUUGUAAACCGCUUUCGCCUGUGACGAAGCGUGAGUGACGGUAAUGGGUAAAGAAGCACCGGCUAACUACGUG
rnacentral:rRNA from 1 species